rnacentral:lncRNA from 1 species
AUGGCCCAGACAAACUUACAAUGCAUGGGGAGGGUGGCCGAGGCGUCCUCCCCGGGUCUCCAGGGGCACCCCCUCCGCCGCGGCCCCCGCCCGCCAGCACCACUCACCAGCAUGCCCAGCUGUAUGGCCAGCACGGCCACCCGGGCUUCCAGCUCCGGCUCCCGCUCGGCCUCCCGCAGCGCCCGGGCUCCGCGUGCGUGGCCCAUGUGCCCCAGGCACACCUUGGCGACGUCCAGCCUCUGGGUCUUCACGCACAUGCGCGCCAUGUUCUCCCAGACGGCCUCGCUGAGGCGAAGGACACAGCGCCCCGUGAGCGUCCCGUGCAGCCUCGGGCCCCGCCCAGACUGUGCCCAACAGUGCUGGGGAUGCGGUCCCAGGCUGGUGGCCAGGCUUCGCUCUCCCCCAGCGGGGGGGGGGGGCUGUCCCACCAAGAUGGGGGCGUCUCCUGCUUCACCCUGUUUCUCCACCCCCUCCCAGCACCUCCAUCUGGGGCUGAGCUCCUUGCUGGCCCCCAAACAGAGCCCCUGGGUCUGGGUUCCCGACUCCCAUGAGGACAAGCACGAUGCCCAGGUGGGCCCUGCAUGGAGGCGAGCCCCGGGAUGGGCCAUCGAGCUGCCCUCUGACACCUGGGCAGAGGCUCGGGGCUCGGGGUUGCCCUUGUUUUGAGGUUUCUAGCAUCUCUCCCUUCAUGGCUGACAGCAGGUCCCGGGAUGACCUUGCACCUGGCCAGCCUCCCAGAGAAAGGCUGCUGGCGGAGGGAGGACGUGCUGGGGCCCCUCCACCCAAUGACCCCACGGCCCCGAGGUGCACAGGCCGUGAGUAACUUCUGGGACACCCGCGGUUGGCAGGGCUCUGGACCCGAGAGUCGCGGAGGGCCUCGCCCCUGUGCUGUCAGGAGACCCGAGCAGCGGCCGCCAAAGGAGGCCCCCAUCCGUUUAGGUCCUUAAACGCCCACUAUUUCCACACCCCUCUCCGGCACAGGCGUUAGGUCUCCACCACACGGGGCUGGGAGAAGCCUGUGGGCACGGGCCAUCCCCGAGGGCCGGCCUCUCUGUGGGCAGCUCCACCCCGUGAGGCCUGGGGACAAAAAGUCUAACACGUGGACACCCGCUUGGUCCUGGUCCAGGCCAGCCCGUGGUGUGUGCAGAGCCCAAUGGGCACCGAGGCGCCCUGUCCUCCGAGAAGCUGCCAGAACCGGUCCCAGAGGCUCCUCGUUUGGGCUGCUCCGCAGGGCAGCAGGGGGUGAUUCACAGCCGCACUCGUAGCUCCUCCAGACCUCCCUUGAGCCUCGGCUCUAAGAUGACACUCCCUCCCGCGGUCCAGGUGCAGGGGGAAGUGCACGCGGGCUUGGCCCCUGAACCCCCGGCAGAGCUGAAGACCCGGCCCCCGGAGGCAGGCAGGGCCCCUGGGGUGGCCCAGGGUGGACGACUCGGUGUCUGCGCCCAGGCCUGUGCCGGAUGGAGCUGGUGGGAGGCUGCUCCCGGACCAGCAAAGCAGGGACCACGGGUACCGAGACCCCGUGCUGGCUGUUUCGCAAGAAUCAGCUGCUUAAAGACGACUCAGAGUAAGAGACUUAAACCUGCGAGGCAGCAACGCCAGUCUUCCCAUGGAAGCUCUGGGGAAACGCUUUCUGAGGCCGUCAGCGGCGCUGCGUGUGCAGGAACCU